UGUAUUAGCCAUAGAAAUCUUGAUGAAAAUGUUUGAAUGUGCUUUUUAACUCCAAAUGUGCAGAAGGAUUUGUGACACCUACUGCAAGGACCAUAGGAGAGUCUCAGAAAUGAACUGAGUUCCCAGGCUCUGUCUGUGAGCUGAAUCUGAAGCUUGGAUGUGAAACCCUCUGGAUCCGACCUUGCGGCCAAGCCUUGUGGGUGGAACAGCGGCAGAGGCAAACAAAGCACGAGUCUGCAAGAGGCUGUCCCAACCCUGCCUGCGUUGCAUGCGCCAGGACUGUUGGAGGCUGUGCUGUGCCCCUCUCGGCCAAGCCCCCUCUUUCAUGUCAGCCAGCUGUUGCUCCUGCCACCCCUGUGCUACCCCUUCUAAUGGCUGUUCAGAAGUGGGGGAUGAAAGGGAGAGCUUCACAGGAGAAGAUGCCAAAACCAGAGCAUUCUUACAGGAAUUAGAACUGAAAUCUCCUACGGUUGAACAAGAAUAAUAAUAAUAAAAAGAGGAUUGGCCGUGUUCUCCUUUAUCCAGCAAAGUAAUCUCAGCUGCUUACAUGAGAUCUGAGAGGUGUCUUCACCAGACCUGGGUAAGGAUUUCAGCAGGUGGUUUAACAGCCGUGCACCAAGAGUCUUGUCCAUCCACUCACAGGUAAGGAGAAGGUUGUGAACCUCG